rnacentral:lncRNA from 1 species
UAGAGAGGGAUGAAGACACUGAAGACCUGGGUUCUAAGAAAGAUACUAGCCAUCUGGGUUCUCCCAAGACUCCAGCCAUGCCCCUGGUAUACUGGAAACUAUGUACCCGUUCCUUACCAGACACACAGGCCACAUGUCCUUCAGGAAGCCUUGAUCGCCUGUCAGGUAAUAGUCCCGAUAAACUUGCAACACAAACUUCAGGUUCAGGUCCUUCCAGUCAGCAGUAUCAUGGAUCAAAUAUGCGUUGACCCGGAGCCAUGGCUCAUCAUCUGUUGGAGGGGAGGGGACCUGCUUAACUGCAUCAGUGGAUAGGACAGAGGGUACAGGGACUGACAGACGGAAGUUGGCCUUGGGGGAGUGGAAUCUUACCUGGAUCCCCAAUAUCAUGAGGGAUAACGUUCCUCCUUUUCACAGGC